UACGUAGGGUGCAAGCGUUAAUCGGAAUUACUGGGCGUAAAGCGUGCGCAGGCGGUUUUGUAAGUCUGUCGUGAAAGCCCCGGGCUCAACCUGGGAAUUGCGAUGGAGACUGCAAGGCUUGAAUCUGGCAGAGGGGGGGUAGAAUUCCACGUGUAGCAGUGAAAUGCGUAGAGAUGUGGAGGAACACCGAUGGCGAAAGGCAGCCCCCCUGGGUCAAGAUUGACGCUCAUGCACGAAAAGCGUGGGGGAGCAAACAGG
rnacentral:rRNA from 1 species